GCCUGUCUUUCGCAUUGUCAUUAUACCUAGUUAUUAUUAGUGAUGCGUCAAUAAUUGGCCGUGCAUACUGUAUUGUUUUUUGUCUUGUUUCAUGUGAAAUAAAAGUAAUGAUAAUGUUGCGAAGUUGUUUGUCGCUCCUGAAUGGGCCGGCCAGGGCUCCUAGCCGCACCUUGGUGCCGGCGAGGAAGUGGAACCAGUGCACCUUGUACAUCAGCUUGCCGCCGCGGAACCCGCACACGCUUGGAGAGUCGCUGGCGCACGGCGCGUUCAUGAUGGUGGUUUGGAUCGCGCCCACGCUCAUACUCAUGUCACAGAUCAAGAUCUGGAGACGCAAAUAUGGCUCAAUGCCGCUAGCCUGAAAACUAAAUAUGCGUGUAUGUCAAAAAUAAAUAAAGUUUAAUUCUU